rnacentral:rRNA from 1 species
GAUGAACGCUGGCGGCGUGCCUAAUACAUGCAAGUCGAGCGAACAGAUGAGGAGCUUGCUCCUCUGACGUUAGCGGCGGACGGGUGAGUAACACGUGGAUAACCUACCUAUAAGACUGGGAUAACUUCGGGAAACCGGAGCUAAUACCGGAUAAUAUAUUGAACCGCAUGGUUCAAUAGUGAAAGACGGUUUUGCUGUCACUUAUAGAUGGAUCCGCGCCGCAUUAGCUAGUUGGUAAGGUAACGGCUUACCAAGGCAACGAUGCGUAGCCGACCUGAGAGGGUGAUCGGCCAAACGGGAACUGAGCACCGGUCCAGACUCCUACGGGAGGCAGCAUUAGGGAAUCUUCCGCAAUGGGCGAAAGCCUGACGGAGCAACGCCGCGUGAGUGAUGAAGGUCUUCGGAUCGUAAAACUCUGUUAUUAGGGAAGAACAAAUGUGUAAGUAACUAUGCACGUCUUGACGGUACCUAAUCAGAAAGCCACGGCUAACUACGUG